rnacentral:rRNA from 1 species
CAAUAGCGUAUAUUAAAGUUGUUGCAGUUAAAAAGCUCGUAGUUGAAUUUUUGCUUGCCGCCGAUGUCGGAACUUCCGUACGUUCGGCGGCGUGCAUCCUUGGGUGGAACCUGUGUGGCAUUAGGUUGUCGUGCAGGGGAUGCUCAUCGUUUACUGUGAAAAAAUUAGAGUGUUCAAAGCAGGCUUACGCCGUUGAAUAUAUUAGCAUGGAAUAAUAAGAUAGGACCUUGGUACUAUUUUGUUGGUUUGCGCACCGAGGUAAUGAUUAACAGGGACAGUUGGGGGUAUUCGUAUUCCAUUGCCAGAGGUGAAAUUCUUGGAUUUCUGGAAGACGAACUACUGCGAAAGCAUUUACCAAGGAUGUUUUCAUUAA